rnacentral:rRNA from 1 species
GAUGAACGCUGGCGGCGUGCCUAAUACAUGCAAGUCGAGCGAGCGGCGGCCGGGUGAGUAAUGUCUGGAAAACUGCCUGAUGGAGGGGGAUAACUACUGGAAACGGUAGCUAAUACCGCAUACCCUCAGAUGUGCCCAGAUGGGAUUAGCUAGUAGGUGGGGUAAUGGCUCACCUAGGCGACGAUCCCUAGCUGGUCUGAGAGGAUGACCAGCCACACUGGAACUGAGACACGGUCCAGACUCCGACGGGAGGCAGCAGGGGGGAAGAUUGCACAAUGGGCGCAAGCCUGAUGAAGCCAUGCCGCGGGUGUGAAGAAGGCCUUCGGGUUGUAAAGCACUGUCAGCGAGGAGGCGUUACUCGCAGAAGAAGCACCGGCUAACUCCGUGCCAGCAGCCGCGGUAAGUC